rnacentral:rRNA from 1 species
AGUGAACGCUGGCGGUAGGCCUAACACAUGCAAGUCGAACGGAAGCACAGUAAGAGCUUGCUCUUACGGGUGGCGAGUGGCGGACGGGUGAGGAAUACAUCGGAAUCUACUAUUUCGGGGGGGAUAACGUAGGGAAAGUUACGCUAAUAGCGCAUACGACCUACGGGUGAAAGCAGGGGAUCUUCGGACCUUGCGCGAUUGUAUGAGCCGAUGUCGGAUUAGCUAGUUGGGGGGGUAAGGGCCCACCAAGGCGACGAUCCGUAGCUGGGCUGAGAGGAUGAUCAGCCACACUGGAACUGAGACACGGUCCAGACUCCUACGGGAGGCAGCAGUUGGGAAUAUUGGACAAUGGGCGCAAGCCUGAUCCAGCCAUACCGCGUGGGUGAAGAAGGCCUUCGGGUUGUAAAGCCCUUUUGUUGGGAAAGAACAGCAGCAGGUUAAUACCCCGCUGUUCUGACGGUACCCAAAGAAUAAGCACCGGCUAACUUCGUG